rnacentral:misc_RNA from 1 species
ACCUACUGUUUAAUUUUGAGGGUUCGUUUUUACGAAUACUCAAAAUUAGCACUUUAAGCAACAGAAUAAACUGAACGCAUGUGAAGUUUGUUUGUUGGCGCUGUGCGUUAGCACUUUAAGUAACGGAAUAAUCUGAGUGAAUACGAAGGUUGUUCGUUGACGUGGUGCGUUAGCACUUUAAGCAACUGGAUUUAUCCGUUGGCGCCGUGCUUUAGCACUUUGAAAACUGCAUAUAUAUUUAGUGAUAUGACAUCUAAUUUGUAAUAUAUAAAGCUGAUAACUUUUUAAAAUUAUCGAAGUUGAUAGCUUCUAAUCUAUCAAACCUUUUUAACUGGUCAA